rnacentral:rRNA from 1 species
AACGAACGCUGGCGGCAUGCCUAACACAUGCAAGUCGAACGAGACCUUCGGGUCUAGUGGCGCACGGGUGCGUAACGCGUGGGAAUCUGCCCUUGGGUUCGGAAUAACAGUUGGAAACGACUGCUAAUACCGGAUGAUGACGUAAGUCCAAAGAUUUAUCGCCCAAGGAUGAGCCCGCGUAGGAUUAGCUAGUUGGUGAGGUAAAGGCUCACCAAGGCGACGAUCCUUAGCUGGUCUGAGAGGAUGAUCAGCCACACUGGGACUGAGACACGGCCCAGACUCCUACGGGAGGCAGCAGUGGGGAAUAUUGGACAAUGGCGAAAGACCUGAUCCAGCAAUGCCGCGUGAGUGAUGAAGGCCUCGGUU